rnacentral:rRNA from 1 species
GUUGUAUAGUCAAGUAAUUAAGUGCAUGUGGUGGAUGCCUUGGCAGUCAGAGGCGAUGAAAGACGUGAUAGCCUGCGAAAAGCUCCGGGGAGGCGGCAAAUAUCCUUUGAUCCGGAGAUGUCUGAAUGGGGGAACCCACCUACUUUAAGGUAGGUAUUGCAACAUGAAUACAUAGUGUUGCAAGGCGAACGAGGGGAAGUGAAACAUCUCAGUACCCUUAGGAAAAGAAAUCAAUUGAGAUUCCCUCAGUAGCGGCGAGCGAACGGGGAUCAGCCCAUUAAGUUAUGUGUGUUUUAGUGGAACGCUCUGGGAAGUGCGAACGUAGAGGGUGAUAUUCCCGUACACGAAAGGGCACACAUAAUGAUGACGAGUAGGGCGAGGCACGUGAAACCUUGUCUGAAUAUGGGGGGACCAUCCUCCAAGGCUAAAUACUCCUGACUGACCGAUAGUGAACCAGUACCGUGAGGGAAAGGCGAAAAGAACCCCUGUGAGGGGAGUGAAAUAGAUCCUGAAACCGCAUGCAUACAAGCAGUGGGAGCACCUUCGUGGUGUGACUGCGUACCUUUUGUAUAAUGGGUCAGCGACUUAUAUUCAGUAGCGAGGUUAACCGUAUAGGGGAGCCGUAGAGAAAUCGAGUCUUAAUAGGGCGUUUAGUUGCUGGGUAUAGACCCGAAACCAGGCGAUCUAUCCAUGAGCAGGUUGAAGGUUGGGUAACACUAACUGGAGGACCGAACCCACUGUCGUUGAAAAGCCAGGGGAUGACUUGUGGAUAGGGGUGAAAGGCUAAUCAAGCCUGGUGAUAGCUGGUUCUCCCCGAAAGCUAUUUAGGUAGCGCCUCGGACGAAUACCAUAGGGGGUAGAGCACUGUUUCGGCUAGGGGGUCAUCCCGACUUACCAAACCGAUGCAAACUCCGAAUACCUAUGAGUACUAUCCGGGAGACAGACUGCGGGUGCUAACGUCCGUAGUCAAGAGGAAAACAAUCCAGACCGCCAGCUAAGGCCCCAAAAUCAUAGUUAAGUGGGAAACGAUGUGGGAAGGCAUAGACAGCUAGGAGGUUGGCUUANNNNNNNNNNNNNNNGAAGCAGCCACCCUUUAAAGAAAGCGUAAUAGCUCACUAGUCGAGUCGGCCUGCGCGGAAGAUGUAACGGGGCUAAAACUAUGUGCCGAAGCUGCGGAUGUAUACUUUGUAUACGUGGUAGGGGAGCGUUCUGUAAGCCGAUGAAGGUGUGUUGAGAAGCNNNNNNNNNNAUGCUGGAGGUAUCAGAAGUGCGAAUGCUGACGUGAGUAACGACAAAACGGGUGAAAAACCCGUUCGCCGAAAGACCAAGGGUUCCAGUCCAACGUUAAUCGGGGCUGGGUGAGUCGACCCCUAAGGCGAGGCCGAAAGGCGUAGUCGAUGGGAAAAUGGUUAAUAUUCCAUUACUUCUGUGUAAUGCGAUGAGAGGACGGAGAAGGCUAAAUCAGCCUGGCGUUGGUUGUCCAGGUGAAAGGAUGUAGGCAUGUAUCUUAGGCAAAUCCGGGGUACUCUAUGCUGAGAUCUGAUAGCAAGCUGUACUUGUACAGCGAAGUGGUUGAUGCCAUGCUUCCAGGAAAAGUCUCUAAGCUUCAGUUACACAGGAAUCGUACCCGAAACCGACACAGGUGGUCAGGUCGAGUAGACCAAGGCGCUUGAGAGAACUCUGCUGAAGGAACUAGGCAAAAUGGUACCGUAACUUCGGGAGAAGGUACGCUGUUGUUGGUGAUGGAACUCGCUUCCUGAGCUGACGACAGCCGCAGAAACCAGGCCGCUGCAACUGUUUAUUAAAAACAUAGCACUCUGCAAACACGAAAGUGGACGUAUAGGGUGUGAUGCCUGCCCGGUGCUGGAAGGUUAAUUGAUGGGGUUAGCGUAAGCGAAGCUCUUGAUCGAAGCCCCAGUAAACGGCGGCCGUAACUAUAACGGUCCUAAGGUAGCGAAAUUCCUUGUCGGGUAAGUUCCGACCUGCACGAAUGGCAUAAUGAUGGCGGCGCUGUCUCCAGCAGAGGCUCAGUGAAAUCGAAAUCGCUGUGAAGAUGCAGUGUACCCGCGGCUAGACGGAAAGACCCCGUGAACCUUUACUGCAGCUUGACACUGAACUUUGACCUUACUUGUGUAGGAUAGGUGGGAGGCUUUGAAGCUGGAACGCUAGUUCCAGUGGAGCCGUCCUUGAAAUACCACCCUGGUAAUGUUGAGGUUCUAACUCUGUCCCGUGAUCCGGGACGAGGACCGUGUCUGGUGGGUAGUUUGACUGGGGCGGUCUCCUCCUAAAGAGUAACGGAGGAGUACGAAGGUGCGCUCAGCGUGGUCGGAAAUCACGCGUAGAGUAUAAAGGCAAAAGCGCGCUUAACUGCGAGACCCACAAGUCGAGCAGGUACGAAAGUAGGUCUUAGUGAUCCGGUGGUUCUGUAUGGAAGGGCCAUCGCUCAACGGAUAAAAGGUACUCUGGGGAUAACAGGCUGAUACCGCCCAAGAGUUCAUAUCGACGGCGGUGUUUGGCACCUCGAUGUCGGCUCAUCUCAUCCUGGGGCUGAAGCAGGUCCCAAGGGUAUGGCUGUUCGCCAUUUAAAGAGGUACGCGAGCUGGGUUUAGAACGUCGUGAGACAGUUCGGUCCCUAUCUACCGUGGGCGCUGGAAAUUUGAGAGGAUCUGCUCCUAGUACGAGAGGACCAGAGUGGACGAACCUCUGGUGUACCGGUUGUGACGCCAGUCGCAUCGCCGGGUAGCUAUGUUCGGAAGGGAUAACCGCUGAAAGCAUCUAAGCGGGAAGCCUACCUCAAGAUAAGAUUUCCCUAGGACUUUAUGUCCUCUAAAGAGCCGUUCGAGACUAGGACGUUGAUAGGUUGGAUGUGGAAGCAUAGUGAUAUGUGAAGCUGACCAAUACUAAUUGCUCGUGAGGCUUGACUAUACAACACCCAAGCAGUUG